rnacentral:rRNA from 1 species
UACGUAGGGUGCGAGCGUUGUCCGGAAUUAUUGGGCGUAAAGAGCUCGUAGGCGGUUUGUUGCGUCUAUCGUGAAAACCUGCAGCUUAACUGUGGGCUUGCGGUGGAUACGGGCAGACUUGAGUUCGGUAGGGGAGACUGGAAUUCCUGGUGUAGCGGUGAAAUGCGCAGAUAUCAGGAGGAACACCGGUGGCGAAGGCGGGUCUCUGGGCCGGAACUGACGCUGAGGAGCGAAAGCGUGGGUAGCAAACAGG